rnacentral:misc_RNA from 1 species
GAUGAAGAACGCAGCGAAAUGCGAUACGUAAUGUGAAUUGCAAAUUCAGUGAAUCAUCGAGUCUUUGAACGCACAUUGCGCCCCCUGGUAUUCCGGGGGGCAUGCCUGUCCGAGCGUCAUUGCUGCCCUCAAGCACGGCUUGUGUGUUGGGCCCCGUCCUCCGAUCCCGGGGGACGGGCCCGAAAGGCAGCGGCGGCACCGCGUCCGGUCCUCGAGCGUAUGGGGCUUUGUCACCCGCUCUGUAGGCCCGGCCGGCGCUUGCCGAUCAACCCAAAUUUUUUAUCCAGGUUGACCUCGGAUCAGGUAGGGAUACCCGCUGAACUUAAGCAUAUCAUAGCGGAGGA